AGUCGAGCGGGCGUAGCAAUACGUCAGCGGCAGACGGGUGAGUAACGCGUGGGAACGUACCUUUUGGUUCGGAACACACAGGGAAACUUGUGCUAAUACCGGAUAAGCCCUUACGGGGAAAGAUUUAUCGCCGAAAGACCGGCCCGCGUCUGAUUAGCUAGUUGGUGAGGUAACGGCUCACCAAGGCGACGAUCAGUAGCUGGUCUGAGAGGAUGAUCAGCCACAUUGGGACUGAGACACGGCCCAAACUCCUACGGGAGGCAGCAGUGGGGAAUAUUGGACAAUGGGCGCAAGCCUGAUCCAGCCAUGCCGCGUGAGUGAUGAAGGCCCUAGGGUUGUAAAGCUCUUUUGUGCGGGAAGAUAAUGACGGUACCGCAAGAAUAAGCCCCGGCUAACUUCGUGCCAGCAGCCGCGGUAAUACUAAUGGGGCUAGCGUUGCUCGGAAUCACUGGGCGUAAAGGGUGCGU
rnacentral:rRNA from 1 species